UAACAAAAACAUUUCUAUUAGAUUUCAUUAAUAGUAUAAUCUGCUCAAUGAUAUUAAAUAGCCGCUAUUACUGUGCUAAGGUAGCAUAAUCAUUUGUCUUUUAAUUAAAGACUAGAACAAAAGAUUGAACAUUUUAAUUAAUAUAUCCAAACUAAUUAAUUAAAUUUAUUUUAAAUGUAAAAAAACAUUUAUAAAUUAGAAAGACGAUAAGACCCUAUUAAACUUAACUUAAGUUAAACUGGGGCAGUUAAUUAAUUAUCACUUUAAUUUAAAUACAAAAACAAAUAGAUCCUAUAAAAUAGAUUAAAUGACCAAGUUACUAUAGGGAUAACAGCGUAAUAUUAAUUAAAAGACCUUAUUAAAAUAAAAGAUUACGACCUCGAUGUUGAAUUAAUAACCUAUAUAGUUGCAAUAAACAAUAAAGG
rnacentral:rRNA from 1 species